CGACAGCGUUUUUCAAAACGCCCGUGGCGAUAACUUUGGCACCUCCGUUGCUUAGUAGGACAGGUGCUUACACGCAUGUCGGUGCUGCAGUGUGCAACCGGGGUGAGUCCGUUCCUUGCUGACUGAAAACAAUGAGGCCACAACAGCAUUGUUUGCGCGCCAUUGGUUCGCGGGCGUUGUUAUCCGAUCGCAAACAAGGCCUAAUAAACACCGUUCAGUCUCGUCACUUAGAACGAUCACCGUGCCGCAAAUGUGGGUCAGCAGGCCCAACAGCCGAGCCGCAUGCCAAGUUGGAAAAGUGUCGCCGUUCUGUGACGUUUUACAGACACGCUAUAGCACGCUUUUCCACAACCACUUUGACCACUAUUUUCAGUAUAUCUGCUACGCGCCUUCGCCAAUAAAAUUUCGUCAUAUGUGAUCGA